rnacentral:lncRNA from 1 species
AUGUUGUUCAAUCUUGCUCGAUCUUGCUCAAAUCAACAGCUGCCAUGGAUGAAGCUUGAUUUAACAGUCCAAGAUUCUGCUCGAAAGUGGAGAAUUCUUGCUUCAAUUCAACUCCAAGAUGCUUGUGGAUGAUGGAACAAACAAAGAUCAAGCAAGGUUUUGUGAAGAAAUUUGCAGAAAAGUGGAGAGAAAGUUUGAGAGCAAAA